GCCUGGCUGGCUCAGUCGGUAGAGUGUGCAACUCUUGAUCUCAGGGUUGUGAGUUCGAGCCCCACCUCGGGUG
rnacentral:tRNA from 1 species